GCCGGUUUAGCUCAGCAGGUAGAGCAGCGCUCUUGUAAAGCGAAGGUCAGUGGUUCGAUUCCUCUAACCGGCACCA
rnacentral:tRNA from 1 species